AGGGAAUUUUUUUUGCUUGAAAGAUGAAGUUGACUUUCUUGUAAGAAGGCUGGAAUAUAGCUCAAAGACGAGAAGACCCUAUAAAACUUAGAUAUUAUUACUUUUUUACGAGAGGAAGUAAUAUUUUGCUGGGGUGGCAGGAAAAAUUGACUUUUCUUGAAAAAGGAGAUUGAUAGAUUUUUAUAACCAAAAAUUUUGAAAAAGGAAUAAGUUACUUUAGGGAUAACAGCUUAAUUUGUUUUAAAAGUUCUAAUUGACAAGCAAGUUUGGGACCUCGAUGUUGAAUUAAAAAACCUUUAAUAGUGCAAAAGCUUUAAAAGGGGGUCUGUUCGACCUUUAAAAUUUUCCA
rnacentral:rRNA from 1 species